rnacentral:rRNA from 1 species
AUUGAACGCUGGCGGCAUGCCUUACACAUGCAAGUCGAACGGUAACGCGGGGCAACCUGGCGACGAGUGGCGAACGGGUGAGUAAUGUAUCGGAACGUGCCCAGUUGUGGGGGAUAACUGCUCGAAAGAGCAGCUAAUACCGCAUACGACCUGAGGGUGAAAGCGGGGGAUCGCAAGACUUCGCGCAAUUGGAGCGGCCGAUAUCAGAUUAGGUAGUUGGUGGGGUAAAGGCCUACCAAGCCUACGAUCUGUAGCUGGUCUGAGAGGACGACCAGCCACACUGGGACUGAGACACGGCCCAGACUCCUACGGGAGGCAGCAGUGGGGAAUUUUGGACAAUGGGGGCAACCCUGAUCCAGCCAUGCCGCGUGCGGGAAGAAGGCCUUCGGGUUGUAAACCGCUUUUGUCAGGGAAGAAAUCCUUUGAACUAAUACUUCGGAGGGAUGACGGUACCUGAAGAAUAAGCACCGGCUAACUACGUGCCAGCCGCCGCGGUAAAAC